GACGAACGCUGGCGGCGUGCUUAACACAUGCAAGUCGAACGAUGAUGCUGGAGCUUGCUCCAGUUGAUUAGUGGCGAACGGGUGAGUAACACGUGAGCAAUCUGCCCUUGACUCUGGGAUAACUGCGGGAAACUGUAGCUAAUACCGGCUACUUUCACCGGAAGGCAACUUCUGGUGAUGCAAGAAUGUCGGUCAGUGAUGAGCUCGCGGCCUAUCAUCUUGUUGGUGAGGUAACGGCUCACCAAGGCGACGACGGGUAACCGGCCUGAGAGGGUGACCGGUCACAAUGGGACUGAGACACGGCCCAGACUCCUACGGGAGGCAGCAGUGGGGAAUAUUGCACAAUGGGCGCAAGCCUGAUGCAGCAACGCCGCGUGAGGGAUGAAGGCCUUCGGGUUGUAAACCUCUUUUAGCAGUGAAGAAGCGAAAGUGACGGUACCUGCAGAAAAAGCACCGGCUAACUACGUGCCAGCAGCCGCGGUAA
rnacentral:rRNA from 1 species